AUGUUGCCUAUGAUGGUUUAUAAAUAUACUUUGAGUAUAAUGCUUUGAAAAAAAUUUAAAUCUGAGGCACUUG